UGGCAGCGGCGGACGGGUGAGUAACGCGUAGGAAUGUGUCCAGAGGUGGGGGACAACCCCGGGAAACUGGGGCUAAUACCGCAUAUGUCCUGAGGGACAAAGCAGUAAUGCGCCUUUGGAGCAGCCUGCGUCCGAUUAGGUAGUUGGUGGGGUAAUGGCCUACCAAGCCUGCGAUCGGUAGCUGGUCUGAGAGGAUGAUCAGCCACACUGGGACUGAGACACGGCCCAGACUCCUACGGGAGGCAGCAGUGGGGAAUAUUGGACAAUGGGGGCAACCCUGAUCCAGCAAUGCCGCGUGUGUGAAGAAGGUCUUCGGAUCGUAAAGCACUUUCGACGGGGACGAUGAUGACGGUACCCGUAGAAGAAGCCCCGGCUAACUUCGUGCCAGCAGCCGCGGUAAUACGAAGGGGGCUAGCGUUGCUCGGAAUUACUGGGCGUAAAGGGCGCGUAGGCGGCUCUGUUAGUCAGGCGUGAAAUUCCUGGGCUUAACCUGGGGACUGCGCUUGAUACUGCGGAGC
rnacentral:rRNA from 1 species